GAUGAACGCUGGCGGCGUGCCUAAUACAUGCAAGUCGAGCGAACGGACGAGAAGCUUGCUUUUCUGAUGUUAGCGGCGGACGGGUGAGUAACACGUGGAUAACCUACCUAUAAGACUGGGAUAACUUCGGGAAACCGGAGCUAAUACCGGAUAAUAUUUUGAACCGCAUGGUUCAAAAGUGAAAGACGGUCUUGCUGUCACUUAUAGAUGGAUCCGCGCUGCAUUGGCUAGUUGGUAAGGUAACGGCUUACCAAGGCAACGAUGCAUAGCCGACCUGAGAGGGUGAUCGGCCACACUGGAACUGAGACACGGUCCAGACUCCUACGGGAGGCAGCAGUAGGGAAUCUUCCGCAAUGGGCGAAAGCCUGACGGAGCAACGCCGCGUGAGUGAUGAAGGUCUUCGGAGCGUAAAACUCUGUUAUUAGGGAAGAACAUAUGUGUAAGUAACUGUGCACAUCUUGACGGUACCUAAUCAGAAAGCCACGGCUAACUACGUG
rnacentral:rRNA from 1 species